AGCGAACGCUGGCGGCAGGCCUAACACAUGCAAGUCGAACGGAUCCUUCGGGAUUAGUGGCGGACGGGUGAGUAACACGUGGGAACGUGCCCUUUGGUUCGGAACAACUCAGGGAACCCUGAGCUAAUACCGGAUGUGCCCUUCGGGGGAAAGAUUUAUCGCCAUUGGAGCGGCCCGCGUCUGAUUAGCUAGUUGGUGGGGUAAGGGCCCACCAAGGCGACGAUCAGUAGGUGGUCUGAGAGGAUGAUCAGCCACAUUGGGACUGAGACACGGCCCAAACUCCUACGGGAGGCAGCAGUGGGGAAUCUUGCGCAAUGGGCGAAAGCCUGACGCAGCCAUGCCGCGUGAAUGAUGAAGGUCUUAGGAUUGUAAAAUUCUUUCACCGGGGACGAUAAUGACGGUACCCGGAGAAGAAGCCCCGGCUAACUUCGUGCCAGCCGCCGCCGUAA
rnacentral:rRNA from 1 species